GCUCGUGGAUCGAUGAAGACCGUAGCUAAAUGCGCGCCAGAAUGUGAACUGCAGGAUACAUAAACACCGACAAGUUGAACGCAUAUUGCACACCGUACAGCAGUACGAUGUACUCAUUUUUGAGUGCCUAUAGUUAUCCAUUCAACUGUACGUGCAUGCGCGUCCCGCCUCCCGAAAAUCUGGCGCGAGGACAGGCGCACCCCGUAUGCGCAGUGACGUUUUCCCCACCAGCCCGGUAAAACGUUCAAGAUAGUCAGAUACCGCCCGGGCGCGGUUGAUUAAUACAUCCCCUAGACCAACGCGCUUGGUUAUGUUAUAUUUCAUCGGCACACCCAUAUACCCCAGUAGGCCUCAAAUAAUGUGUGACUACCCCCUAAAUUUAAGCA
rnacentral:rRNA from 1 species